rnacentral:rRNA from 1 species
UGCGAGUCACAUAGCAAUAUGUGGCAUACGGCUCAGUAACACGUAGUCAACAUGCCCAGGGGACGUGGAUAACCUCGGGAAACUGAGGAUAAACCGCGAUAAGUCACUACUUCUGGAAUGGGUAAUGACUUAAAUCUAUAUGGCCCCUGGAUUGGACUGCGGCCGAUCAGGCUGUUGGUGAGGUAAUGGCCCACCAAACCUGUAACCGGUACGGGCUCUGAGAGGAGGAGCCCGGAGAUGGGCACUGAGACAAGGGCCCAGGCCCUAUGGGGCGCAGCAGGCGCGAAACCUCUGCAAUAGGCGAAAGCCUGACAGGGUUACUCUGAGUGAUUUCCGUUAAGGAGAUCUUUUGGCACCUCUAAAAAUGGUGCAGAAUAAGGGGUGGGCAAGUCUGGUGUCAGCCGCCGCGGUAAUACCAGCACCCCGAGUGGUCGGGACGUUUAUUGGGCCUAAAGCAUCCGUAGCCGGUUCUGCAAGUCUUCCGUUAAAUCCACCUGCUUAACAGAUGGGCUGCGGAAGAUACUAUAGAGCUAGGAGGCGGGAGAGGCAAGCGGUACUCGAUGGGUAGGGGUAAAAUCCGUUGAUCCAUUGAAGACCACCAGUGGCGAAGGCGGCUUGCCAGAACGCGCUCGACGGUGAGGGAUGAAAGCUGGGGGAGCAAACCGGAUUAGAUACCCGGGUAGUCCCAGCUGUAAACGAUGCAGACUCGGUGAUGAAUUGGCUUCAUGCCAAUUCAGUGCCGCAGGGAAGCCGUUAAGUUUGCCGCCUGGGGAGUACGGUCGCAAGACUGAAACUUAAAGGAAUUGGCGGGGGAGCACCACAAGGGGUGAAGCCUGCGGUUCAAUUGGAUUCAACGCCGGG